AAGCUUCCUCAAAGAUGAGUAUUCCUUAUGAAAUUCCUUAUAGACUAUGAGGUUGAUAGGUUAGAGGUGUAAGUGUAGCAAUACAUUCAGCUGACUAAUACUAAUAAAUUCAAAGUUUAAAAAGUUGAUUCUUAAAGUAUUUUAACAAAUCGCUUUCAAUCUAAAAACAAAAAAUUACUAUUCAGUUUUGAGGGAGUU
rnacentral:rRNA from 1 species